rnacentral:tmRNA from 1 species
GGUUGAUUUGAGAGAAGCGAGUCGUGGCCUCCGGAUCCACGUUAAAGAGUCGGACCAAUCACAAACGCCAACGUCAAAACCAAUGCCAUGGCACUCGCUGCCUGAUAAAGGCAACGGGUAACGGCCCCACUACCUCAGCCCUUCAGGUAGAGGUGGCCCUCAUUUGAAGGGCUUGCUUGUCGCUAUUACUGGCGUAGGGACCAGGACACUUAGUCAGGUCCGGGUAUUGAAUCUGGUGUCUCUGCCAGUCUCCACCCCGACAAUCCCCUCAGUGACUGCACUCGGAGAAGACUCAAUGAAACGCUGAAGGACGCGGGUUCGAUUCCCGCCACCUCCACAA